rnacentral:lncRNA from 7 species
AUUAAAUGCUGAUUGUUUUCACAUGUAGUGGAGGUGCUUAUAAAUUAAUGAGACUAAAAAUGCUGACAAAGUCAAAAUCAAUGGGAUUUUGUGUAUGUGUUUUGUAUAAUGUAUAACUUACUUUAGAAAUCACCUUUAUCUGAAGGAAGAAACAAUUCAAGAAACAAAAAACUCCAACCCCAUGAUUUCACCAUCAUGGGUGGUGUCCUUGUUGCCACUAACUUACCUUUAAAAUUUGUAAAGCAUGAAAAGUUUGGAGCUAGACACCAGACUUUCUCCCCUUGGCUUUUGAUAUGCAGACCUCAGUACCACAGGAUGAUGGUGCUGGAAAGCAUUCAACUGAUUAAAAUAUUGAAAAGAGUCCUUUGAACGUCUGAGGAACCUCUCCUGUCUUCAGCUGUGCAGGAGUCCCAGCAUUUAAAAGACAGAGAGGCAGGAAGCAGCCCUUGCUGACCUUCUGCUCUGGCCUGUUUCUAUCUGGUCCUCUGCCAUCUCCUGGAUAGGAUUAGAUAUGGAUGCAGUUGGAAAAAAUUAUUUCAGCAUAAUGGGACAUCUGGACCUUCCCAUUGACCAUCAGUGUUCUGGCUGCUAUGCACUAAAAUUAAGCUGAACUGCAGUAUUUGAUAGAAACAGCCUGCUACUUCUAGAGGUCAGAUGAGAUACAGAGGAAUGUGCUCACCUUUGGGCACUGCAGAUUUACUUUGCCAUUCUUGGAGCUGUUCCUCCUGGUGGAACAGCAGGAAAAGAAAAAGGAACCUGUCACUAAACUCCAAGUAUACAUGGAAGAAUCAAAUAAAUAAAUAAAUAAAU